UACAGAGGGUGCUAGCGUUGUUCGGAAUGACUGGGCGUAAAGGGUGCGUAGGUGGUCCCAUAAGUAAGGUGUGAAAUCCCUGAGCUUAACUCAGGAACUGCAUCUUAUACUGUGGGUCUAGAGUAUUGCAGAGGAAACAGGAAUUUCUAGUGGAGGGGUAAUAUCCAUAGAUAUUAGAAGGAACACCAAAAGCGAAGGCA
rnacentral:rRNA from 1 species